rnacentral:rRNA from 1 species
GGGUUGUCAUGCCAAUGGCACUGCCCGGUAGCUAAAUGCGGAAGAGAUAAGUGCUGAAAGCAUCUAAGCACGAAACUUGCCCCGAGAUGAGUUCUCCCUGAGACUAUAAGUCUCCUGAAGGAACGUUGAAGACGACGACGUUGAUAGGCCGGGUGUGUAAGCGCAGCGAUGCGUUGAGCUAACCGGUACUAAUGAACCGUGAGGCUUAACCUUACAACUCCGAAG